UCUGUAGGUGAAGAGAUGGCGUUUGUGAAGAGUGGCUGGUUGCUGCGACAGAGUGACCUCCUGAAGCGCUGGAAAAGAACUUGGGGUUUGAUCUGUGGUAGGAUGGUCACCUAAUCUAUUAUGAUGACCAUUUCGGCAGGAGAAUCUCUGUUGAGGAUAAGGUCCACAUGCCCAAGAAUUGCUUGAACCCAGAGUCAGGGUUGCAGUGCAUAGAUAUUCAGCCUCCAGAUGGAAAGUCCAAAAGAACUGCAUGCUCCAGAUUGUUUGUGAGAUGGGGAAAACAAUUGAAAGAUCUUUGUGCAGAAAGCACAGAUGAUUGCUUGGCCUGGAAAUUUACACUCCAGGAUUCUAGGACAAACACAGCGUAUGUGGGCUCUGCCGUCAUGACUGAUGAGACAUCCGUGGUUUCCUCGCCUCCACCAUACACGGCCUAUGCUGCACCGGCCCCUGAGGUAGGGAGAACCCUGAGCCUUCAGCAGGCGUACAGCUAUGGGCCAUAUAGUGGUGCGUACCCGCCAGGAACUCAAGUUGUCUAUGCUGCGAAUGGGCAGGCGUAUGCCGUGCCCUAUCAGUACCCAUAUGCAGGACUUUAUGGACAGCAGCCUGCUAACCAAGUCAUCAUUCGAGAGCGGUAUCGAGACAAUGACAGUGACCUGGCACUGGGCAUGCUGGCAGGAGCAGCCACAGGCAUGGCCUUAGGGUCUCUAUUUUGGGUCUUCUAGGGGCCUCAAGGUCUUGAUGUGCAUAGCUUCUGAUAACCCUGUGUGCAAUAAUAUGAUUUGCAGGGCAUUUCUGUUUGUGACGAAUGUUUUUAAUAAUAGUUUUAAUGGUUCCUUUGAAAGUAGUGAUGUCAUAAUUGUAACUAAUCCACAUAAGUACCACAGAGAAAGGUUGGAACUGUGCUGUUGUGUUCAAACGCUGGCUCUCCGGGGCACUGGCUCAUUCCAAGACUGUCCUUGUGCAACUCUCGGAACACCUUAUUUGAGCAUACCUGUUUUGAAAGGCAUUUUCCUUUUAGAGUUAGGUGUAGUGCUUAAGGGUUAAUUUAUUUUCAUGUUAUACUGGUAAUAUAGUGUUGUAUGCCUAAUGAGUGAUUGUGGCAAGAAAAGCUAUAGCUUUCCAUUUAACUUUUUCAAACCACAGACCAGAACUGGUUGCUUGUUACUUUAGGAGUUGUGGGUUGGUAAGCUCCCAGGUACUUCCCGGGGCCAUGGUGUGAGAGCCCCUGUCCUGCCCUCUGGGGCUCCACAGGCCCCCGGCAAGGCCUACGGCUCAGGAUGACAGGGCACAG